UAGCGUUAUUCGGAAUUAUUGGGCGUAAAGGGCGCGUAGGCGGAUUAGUAAGUUAAAAGUGAAAUCCCAAGGCUCAACCUUGGAAUUGCUUUUAAAACUGCUAAUCUAGAGAUUGAAAGAGGAUAGAGGAAUUCCUAGUGUAGAGGUGAAAUUCGUAAAUAUUAGGAGGAACACCAGUGGCGAAGGCGUCUAUCUGGUUCAAAUCUGACGCUGAGGCGCGAAGGCGUGGGGAGCAAACAGGAUUAGAUACCCUGGUAGUCCAC
rnacentral:rRNA from 1 species